rnacentral:rRNA from 1 species
CUACGGGGGGCAGCAGUGAGGAAUUUUGCGCAAUGGGGGGAACCCUGAUGCAGCAACGCCGCGUGGAGGAUGACGCAUUUCGGCGUGUAAACUCCUUUUAUAUGUCAAGAAAAUGACGGUAGCAUAUGAAUAAGCACCGGCUAACUCCGUGCCAGCAGCCGCGGUAAUACGGAGGGUGCAAGCGUUACUCGGAAUCACUGGGCGUAAAGGACGCGUAGGCGGGUUGGAAAGUCAGGUGUGAAAUCCUACAGCUUAACUGUAGAACUGCAUUUGAAACUUCUAAUCUAGAGUAUGGGAGGGGGAGAUGGAAUUAGUGGUGUAGGGGUAAAAUCCGUAGAUAUCACUAGGAAUACCUAAAGCGAAGGCGAUCUCCUGGAACAUUACUGACGCUAAGGCGUGAAAGCGUGGGGAGCAAACAGGAUUAGAUACCCCGGUAGUC